GAUGAACGCUAGCGGCAGGCUUAAUACAUGCAAGUCAAGGGGGUAGCAAUACAACCGGCGCACGGGUGAGUAACGCGUACACAACAUACCAUAUACUGGAGUAUAGCUUUGGGAAACUGAAGGUAAUCCUCCAUAACAUUGCGAGAGGGCAUCUGAUUGCAAUUAAAGUUCCGGCGGUAGAUGAUUGGUGUGCGUUUGAUUAGCUAGUUGGUAGGGUAACGGCCUACCAAGGCGACGAUCAAUAGCUGGCGUGAGAGCGCGACCAGCCACACUGGAACUGAGACACGGUCCAGACUCCUACGGGAGGCAGCAGUAGGGAAUAUUGGACAAUGGGCGGAAAGACCUGAUCCAGCCACUGCCGCGUGAUAGAUGAAGGCCC
rnacentral:rRNA from 1 species